AUACGGAGGAUCCGAGCGUUAUCCGGAUUCAUUGGGGUUAAAGGGUGCGUAGGCGGCCUUUUAAGUCAGCGGUGAAAGUCUGUGGCUCAACCUUAAAAUUGCAGUUGAUACUGGUUUCCUUGAGUACGGUACAGGUGGGCGGAAUUCGUGGGGUAGCGGGGAAAUGCUUCGAUAUCACGAAGAACUCCGAUCGCGAAGGCAGCUCACCGGGCCGGAACUGACACUGAUGCUCGAAAGUGCGGGUAUCAAACAGGAUUAGAUACCCUGGUAGUCCGCACAGUAAACGAUGAAUACUCGCUGUUUGCGAUACACUGUAAGCGGCCAAGCGAAAGCGUUAAGUAUUCCACCUGGGGAGUACGCCGGCAACGGUGAAACUCAAAGGAAUUGGCGGGG
rnacentral:rRNA from 1 species